UUGCUGCAAAUUGUUUGGUUUAUUUGUGUUGCAGAAAGUCUCACCAUCUCCAAAGACAUCUACCCAUCCACAGGUCGAUGACCAAGACCGGCCUUCGAGGAGCUACAUUCCUAAAAGAUAUGUUUUAUAUUAUUUUUGUUCUGGUCCUGAACAGAGCAAAUAGUAAUUGGCCGAAUUUUGGUUGCUGUAUUGGGUUAACCAGAAGUAAAUAUGAUUAAUUAUUAUUGCAGUUUUCCAAAUUAUUGAAAGAUGUUUAUAUAACUCUGGCAAGCAAAGUUGAUAUAGGUUCAGUGGUGGGCUAUUUCUGUAGGGGUUUGCAAUUCUUAACUGUUGCUAUAAACUUAAAUUGUAAAUAUUAUUUACUAGAUUAGAUUUUAUUUUGACAGUCAUUGUUUAACUAUCAUGUUGCUGCUUGGAAUGCUUUUCAUCAGUUAUUCUUGAAAAUAUUAAACAACUAAAGGUAAAAGCAAGUUAUCUGAAAGCUCACUGAUAUAUAAACAAAGUUCUAUCAGCAAUACUUCAUAAGAGAACUGUUUCAGACAUUUGAACCCCCCUUCCAAGAACUAUUUCAGACAAUUGAACCCCCCUUCCAAUUACAUUUACUUUUUUUAAUAAUAACUGGUUUUUUUUUGCAUUGAUUCAUCCAGCUAUUUUGUCACACAACUCAGAAGUAUACAGUGCUAAUCUGUGCAUAGGUAAAACCAGCUAUUGUUUCACACAACUCAGAAGUAUACAGUGCUAAUCUGUGCAUAGGUAAAACCAGCUAUUUGUUCACACAACUCAGAAGUAUACAGUGCUAAUCUGUGCAGAGGUAAAACCAUACAAUUACUAUUUUGUUGCUGUUUUCAAUUAUUUGUUGCUGCAAAUUGUUUGAUUUGUUUUUUAGUUGUUGCAGAAAGGCUCAUCAUCUACAAAGACAUCUACCCAUCAGCAAGUAGAUCUCCAAGACCAGCCUUUGAUACAGAAGCUGCACUCUCAAGUCGAAGUCUGGCUGAUUAUCUCCAACUACAUCUACCCUGUAAUGAGCAGAUGUCCAAGACCAACCUAAGACGUUGGAGUCUCUUGACGGUUGCUACACCAGGAUGCUGCGUAUGGCCCUAAACAUCUCCUGGCAGGACCUUAUGAGAAAGUGCAACCUCUAUGCUGGCGCAAGACUACAGGAGAGAUCUGCGAACACCGACUCAUGUUUGCUGGGCACUGUGUUCAUCCCCUCUGAGCUUGUUGCUUGCCCAACCAUCCUCUUGGAGACCACUCAUCAAGGCAAGGCUUCUUGUGGGAGAAGAUGUCUUUCAUUCAUAGACACCCUGAAACAAGACACCAGCUUUGCCAGCGCUGAGGAACUAAACUCUCCUGCAUGCUGGAUCAACACAUCUGGACAAAAAUUCCAAGCUUAACAUCUGCAAAGCUCUCUGACUACAAGUAGAUCUCCAUCCAAGACCAGCCGAUGAUGAAGGAGCUACACUCUCCAGUUAAAG